rnacentral:rRNA from 1 species
AUGAACGCUAGCUACAGGCUUAACACAUGCAAGUCGAGGGGCAGCAUGGUCUUAGCUUGCUAAGGCUGAUGGCGACCGGCGCACGGGUGAGUAACACGUAUCCAACCUGCCGUCUACUCUUGGCCAGCCUUCUGAAAGGAAGAUUAAUCCAGGAUGGGAUCAUGAGUUCACAUGUCCGCAUGAUUAAAGGUAUUUUCCGGUAGACGAUGGGGAUGCGUUCCAUUAGAUAGUAGGCGGGGUAACGGCCCACCUAGUCAACGAUGGAUAGGGGUUCUGAGAGGAAGGUCCCCCACAUUGGAACUGAGACACGGUCCAAACUCCUACGGGAGGCAGCAGUGAGGAAUAUUGGUCAAUGGGCGAUGGCCUGAACCAGCCAAGUAGCGUGAAGGAUGACUGCCCUAUGGGUUGUAAACUUCUUUUAUAAAGGAAUAAAGUCGGGUAUGCAUACCCGUUUGCAUGUACUUUAUGAAUAAGGAUCGGCUAACUCCGUGCCAGCAGCCGCGGUAAUACGGAGGAUCCGAGCGUUAUCCGGAUUUAUUGGGUUUAAAGGGAGCGUAGAUGGAUGUUUAAGUCAGUUGUGAAAGUUUGCGGCUCAACCGUAAAAUUGCAGUUGAUACUGGAUGUCUUGAGUGCAGUUGAGGCAGGCGGAAUUCGUGGUGUAGCGGUGAAAUGCUUAGAUAUCACGAAGAACUCCGAUUGCGAAGGCAGCCUGCUAAGCUGCAACUGACAUUGAGGCUCGAAAGUGUGGGUAUCAAACAGGAUUAGAUACCCUGGUAGUCCACACGGUAAACGAUGAAUACUCGCUGUUUGCGAUAUACGGCAAGCGGCCAAGCGAAAGCGUUAAGUAUUCCACCUGGGGAGUACGCCGGCAACGGUGAAACUCAAAGGAAUUGACGGGGGCCCGCACAAGCAGUGGAGUAUGUGGAUUAAUUCGAAGCAACGCGAAGAACCUUACCAGGUCUUGACAUCGUAUGCAUAGCUCAGAGAUGAGUGAAAUCUCUUCGGAGACAUAUAGACAGGUGGUGCAUGGUUGUCGUCAGCUCGUGCCGUGAGGUGUCGGCUUAAGUGCCAUAACGAGCGCAACCCUUGUUGUCAGUUACUAACAGGUGAUGCUGAGGACUCUGACAAGACUGCCAUCGUAAGAUGUGAGGAAGGUGGGGAUGACGUCAAAUCAGCACGGCCCUUACGUCCGGGGCUACACACGUGUUACAAUGGGGGGUACAGAGGGCCGCUACCACGCGAGUGGAUGCCAAUCCCUAAAACCCCUCUCAGUUCGGACUGGAGUCUGCAACCCGACUCCACGAAGCUGGAUUCGCUAGUAAUCGCGCAUCAGCCACGGCGCGGUGAAUACGUUCCCGGGCCUUGUACACACCGCCCGUCAAGCCAUGGGAGCCGGGGGUACCUGAAGUGCGUAACCGCGAGGAUCGCCCUAGGGUAAAACUGGUGACUGGGGCU